rnacentral:rRNA from 1 species
GAUGAACGCUGGCGGCGUGCCUAAUACAUGCAAGUAGAACGCUGAAGGAGGAAGUUGCUUCUUUCGGGUGGGGUGGGGAACGGGGGGGUAAGGGUUAGGUACCUGGCUGGGUGGGGGGGGGUAAUAAUGGAAAAGAAAAGUAAUUACGGAUAAAAAGAAACGUUGGAUGAAAUCCACUUAAAAGGGGCAAUUGCCCCACUAACAGAUGGGACUGCGUUGUAUUUGCUUGGUGGGGAGGUAACGGCUCACCAAGGCGACGAUACAUAGCCGACCUGAGAGGGUGAUCGGCCACACUUGGACUGAGACACGGCCCAGACUCCUACGGGAGGCAGCAGUAGGGAAUCUUCGGCAAUGGACGGAAGUCUGACCGAGCAACGCCGCGUGAGUGAAGAAGGUUUUCGGAUCGUAAAGCUCUGUUGUAAGAGAAGAACGAGUGUGAGAGUGGAAAGUUCACACUGUGACGGUAUCUUACCAGAAAGGGACGGCUAACUACGUG